UACGUAGGGCGCAAGCGUUGUCCGGAAUUAUUGGGCGUAAAGAGCUCGUAGGCGGUUUGUUGCGUCGGCUGUGGAAUUCCGAGGCUCAACCUCGGGUCUGCAGUCGAUACGAGCAAACUAGAGUGUUGCAGGGGAGACUGGAAUUCCUGGUGUAGCGGUGAAAUGCGCAGAUAUCAGGAGGAACACCGGUGGCGAAGGCGGGUCUCUGGGCAACAACUGACGCUGAGGAGCGAAAGCGUGGGGAGCGAACAGG
rnacentral:rRNA from 1 species